AGUGAACGCUGGCGGUAGGCCUAACACAUGCAAGUCGAACGGCAGCACAGUAAGAGCUUGCUCUUACGGGUGGCGAGUGGCGGACGGGUGAGGAAUACAUCGGAAUCUACUUUUUCGUGGGGGAUAACGUAGGGAAACUUACGCUAAUACCGCAUACGACCUACGGGUGAAAGCAGGGGAUCUUCGGACCUUGCGCGAUUGAAUGAGCCGAUGUCGGAUUAGCUAGUUGGCGGGGUAAAGGCCCACCAAAGCGACGAUCCGUAGCUGGUCUGAGAGGAUGAUCAGCCACACUGGAACUGAGACACGGUCCAGACUCCUACGGGAGGCAGCAGUGGGGAAUAUUGGACAAUGGGCGCAAGCCUGAUCCAGCCAUACUGCGUGGGUGAAGAAGGCCUUCGGGUUGUAAAGCCCUUUUGUUGGGAAAGAAAAGCAGCAGGUUAAUACCCCGCUGUUCUGACGGUACCCAAAGAAUAAGCACCGGCUAACUUCGUG
rnacentral:rRNA from 1 species